rnacentral:lncRNA from 13 species
AUGACAGAGCGAGACUCCAUCUCAAAAAAAAGAAAAAAAGCCAAGGGUGGGGCACAGCAGCUCUGGUUGUCAGGCUGUUGCUGGGCUCUGGGCUCCCAGGGACCUGGCAGCACCUGCCUCCCCACCCCCUCACCUCUCUGGGGCCCUAUCUUCCCUUAUAUGGUGAAGGCAGUUCCUAGAGGAGGGGAGGUGGGGACAAAGGUCGCUCUUCUGCAGCCAGCUUGCCACAACUCCCUGAGAUCUCCCAGGUGGCAGCUGCCUCCCCAAGACAGUUCAAGGAGCAUUCAUGGAGGGCAGCUCCCCACCAGGCUGGUGAAAGGCUCCAUGGAGAUCCGGGUGGCCUCUGACCUGGUGAGGAGGAGCCUCAAAACUAGGGAGGAGAGGCCAGGCGCGGUGGCUCACGCCUAUAAUCCCAGCCCUUUGGGAGGUCGAGGCAGGCACAUCACCUGAGGUGAGGAGUUUGAGACAAGCCUGGCUAAUAUGGUGAAACCCCGUUUCUACUAAAAAUACAAAAAAUUAACCAGGAGGGGUGGUGUGUGCCUCUAAUCCCAGCUACUCGGAAGGCUGAGACAAGAGAAUCGCUUGAACCCCCGAGGCAGAGGUUCAAGUGAGCCAAGAUUGCACCAUUGCACUCCAGCUUAGGCAACAAGAGUGAAACUCUUUUUAAAAAAAAAAAACUAGGGAGGAGAAUAACUAAGAACAAGUGGCUCACUCUCUGCCCUGGCUCAUAUCAGAAUCACUGGCGAGUUUUAAAAGCACCCAUGCCCAGGCCCCACCCUGGCCUAAUUAAAUCAGAAUCUCAGGGGAUGCUGCCCAAGCAUAGAGCAUCAGUAUGUUCAGAAGCUCCCCAGGUGAUGCUGACGAGCAGCUGGAGCGAACACAGCUACAGGUUCAAGCAGAAAGUGCUGGCUGGGGCGAUGGCUCAUGCCUGUAAUCCCAGCACUUUGGGAGGCUGUGGCAGGCGGAUCACCUGAGGUCAGGAGUUUGAGACCAGCCUGGCCAACAUGGCAAAACCUCAUCUCUACUUAAAAUACAAAAUUAGCCAGGUGUGGUGGUGGGUGCCUGUAAUCCCAACUACACGGGAGGCGAAGGGAGGAAAAUUGCUUGAACCUGGGAGGUGGAGGUUGCAGUGAGCCAAGAUCCAUCCAGCCUGGGUGACAGAGCAAGAUUCUAUCUCAAAAAGAAAAAAAAGGAGAAAGGGCUGACAGCAGGAGAAAAGCUUGGGGAGGAAGGAUUCCUUCCAGUUCAGCAGGCAGAGGGUGGUUCACGGUGGGAGGGUUCACUCUGUUCAUUCAUUCAUUAAUUCAUUCAUCUAUCCCUCACUCCUUCCCUCCCCCUCUCUCUUUAUCCAGCACAGUCACUGUGUUGGACACUGUGGAUUUGGUACUAAACAAGCAGCAAUGGUCCCUGAGUGGGGAGUAACUCUCUGUGCUCCCCGGGGCCCUGAGUC